GGGGACGAGUAGAGUGGCGCACGGGUGAGUAACACGUAGGUAAUCUACCUUCGGAUGGGGAAUAACAACCGGAAACGGUUGCUAAUACCGCAUAAUGCAGCGGCACCUAAUGGUGACAGUUGUUAAAGCGGGGGAUCGAAAGACCUCGCGUCUGAAGAGGAGCCUGCGGCAGAUUAGCUAGUUGGUAAGGUAAUGGCUUACCAAGGCGAUGAUCUGUAGCCGGCCUGAGAGGGCGGUCGGCCACACUGACACUGACAUACGGGUCAGACUCCUACGGGAGGCAGCAGUCGGGAAUUUUGGGCAAUGGGCGAAAGCCUGACCCAGCAACGCCGCGUGGAGGAUGAAAUCCUUCGGGAUGUAAACUUCGCAAGAACGGGAAGAAUAAGUAGGGGACAAUACCCCCUAUGAUGACGGUACUGUUUGUAAGCUCCCGCUAACUCCGUGCCAGCAGCCGCGGUAAUACGGGGGGAGCAAGCGUUGUUCGGAUUUACUGGGCGUAAAGGGCGCGUAGGCGGCCACCGCAAGUCAGUUGUGAAAUCUCUGGGCUUAACCCAGAAAGGUCAACUGAUACUGCGGGGCUAGAGUGCAGAAGGGGCAACUGGAAUUCUCGGUGUAGCGGUGAAAUGCGUAGAUAUCGAGAGGAACACCUGCGGCGAAGGCGGGUUGCUGGGCUGACACUGACGCUGAGGCGCGAAAGCUAGGGGAGCGAACGGGAUUAGAUACCCCGGUAGUCCUAGCCUUAAACGAUGAAUGCUUGGUGUCUGGGGUUUUAUAGUCCCCGGGUGCCGUCGCUAACGCUUUAAGCAUUCCGCCUGGGGAGUACGGUCGCAAGACUGAAACUCAAAGGAAUUGACGGGGACCCGCACAAGCGGUGGAGCAUGUGGGUUUAAUUCGACGCA
rnacentral:rRNA from 1 species